UCAACUGAGAAACAUUGUUACAAUGAGAUCAGUCUCAUAUUACAGUGAUGCAGAGAGGACUAUACAUCUUAAAGAAGAAGAAUAUAAAAAGCCUCCUCUUGUCCCCCAAAAGAAACUACAAUCACCAACCAGACUUGACCAUUUCUUCUCCUUCAGCCCAGAAAAUGCAGAACUGUUCACACAUUCAACUGUACGUACAUGUAUUAUCUUAUAAGAGCUUUCCACCCACUGCUUCUCAGGGUGUACUAGAGUAAAGAAGGUCUCAGAGGACACUCUGUGCUUCCUAUUCAUCUGGAAACUCUGAAAUAACAAAAGAGACAUACCUGUAUCACAGAAUUGUUUCCAGAGGGAACAGUGAGAUAAACUCUGAUGAAUAACUCUCUGCACCGCACGACUACAGUUCUGUAACAUCUCCGGACAGAUGAUUUCAACUAUGCUUCAUUUUUCAGCCUCGAGGGUCUGCAGUCAGUUCUAUAAAUGUUAUUUUUUUAUGUCCACUGAGUGCUGGUGAGCUAUGACUAUGUCCUGUGGUUGCUUAAGUUUUUGAACAAUGAGUUUCGCUGGGGAGGAAUCGCAGAUCGAUAGAUAUCUCUCUCAUGUAUCCAAAAACUUAACUAGACUUUUACCAUUGGUUUGUUUUUUUCUCUUUUAUUAUUGUGCAACAUCUCUGCAAUGCAUACAUUUGAGGAAAUACCGUCCAUCUCCUCUACACACUGUGUGUUAAACCAAAAUACAAGAAGACUGUGAGGUUUUACAGUAAUAAUCAUUAAAAGACAUACGGGAGAGGAACAAUAUCUUCUCAGUCAUUCAAGUU